rnacentral:rRNA from 1 species
CCUGGUUGAUCCUGCCAGUAGUCAUAUGCUUGUCUCAAAGAUUAAGCCAUGCAUGUCUAAGUAUAAACAACUUUAUACUGUGAAACUGCGAAUGGCUCAUUAAAUCAGUUAUAGUUUAUUUGAUAGUACCUUACUACUUGGAUAACCGUAGUAAUUCUAGAGCUAAUACAUGCGAAAAGACCCGACUUUUUGGAAGGGUUGCAUUUAUUAGAUACAAAACCAAUGGCCAGCAAUGGUCACACUUGGUGAUUCAUAAUAACUUUUGCGGAUCGCAUAGCUUUACGCUGGCGACGAAUCAUUCAAAUUUCUGCCCUAUCAACUUUCGAUGGUACGGUAUUGGCCUACCAUGGUUACAACGGGUAACGGGGAAUUAGGGUUCGGUUCCGGAGAGGGGGCCUGAGAAAUGGCCACCACAUCCAAGGAAGGCAGCAGGCGCGCAAAUUACCCAAUCCUGAUACAGGGAGGUAGUGACAAUAAAUAACAAUGCAGGACCUUUACGGGUUUUGUAAUUGGAAUGAGUACAAUUUAAAUCUCUUAACGAGUACCAAUUGGAGGGCAAGUCUGGUGCCAGCAGCCGCGGUAAUUCCAGCUCCAAUAGCGUAUAUUAAAGUUGUUGCAGUUAAAAAGCUCGUAGUUGAAUCUCGGAGUCCUUGUUCUUCGGAAACGCCGAUGGUCGGAAACCCAGAGCCUCGAAAGGGGUGGAUGGGGCUGUUUACUUGAGGCAGGGCUCACAUCUGAGUUUCUCGAAGGUGGCCUCUGCUCUUCACUGGGUUGGGGGACUUUUUCACAUUCGAGACAUUUACUUUGAAAAAAUUAGAGUGUUCAAAGCAGGCAGUUUCGCUUGAAUACAUUAGCAUGGAAUAAUGGAAUAGGACUUUGGUCUUAUUUUGUUGGUUUCUAGGACUGAAGUAAUGAUUAAUAGGGACAGUUGGGGGCAUUAGUAUUUAAUUGUCAGAGGUGAAAUUCUUGGAUUUAUGAAAGACUAACUUCUGCGAAAGCAUUUGCCAAGGAUGUUUUCAUUAAUCAAGAACGAAAGUUAGGGGAUCGAAGACGAUUAGAUACCGUCGUAGUCCUAACCAUAAACUAUGCCGACUCGGGAUCGGUGAGCGUGUUUUUUUACUACCUCAUCAGCACCGUAGGAGAAAUCAAAGUUUUUGGGUUCUGGGGGGUGUAUGGUCGCAAGGCUGAAACUUAAAGGAAUUGACGGAAGGGCACACCAGGUUUGGAGCCUGCGGCUUAAUUUGACCCAACACGGGGAAACUCACCAGGUCCAGACAUCGUAAGGAUUGACAGAUUGAGAGCUCUUUCUUGAUUCGAUGGAAAGUGGUGCAUGGCCGUUCUUAGUUGGUGGAUUGCUCUGUCUGGUUUAUUCCGUUAACGAACGAGACCUUAACCUGCUAAAUAG